AACUGCAAGCCCCUCUUCCGCCGCCUGCGAAGAGAAGGUCAGUGGCCGCGAAGUUGGAACGUGAUCGGAGCCAUGAGGCCCAGUGAGGCGGCAGCGAGCGGGCAGCGCAACGCGCUCCCCCUGUCCCGGGUGCCGAGUGCGCCCCUCCCGGGGCCCGCCUGUGCUCCGGGCGGAGCGCGCUAGCUGCUCGGGCGCGGGGCGUUCUUGGUGCGCCGGUCCGUGGUGAGUCUGGGCUCCCGUGGCCGCGUGCUGGGAGGAGACUGGAGACCGGUUAGGAAGAAUGGAGUUGGCUACUCGCUACCAGAUCCCUAAAGAAGUGGCUGACAUCUUUAACGCCCCCAGUGAUGAUGAAGAGUUUGUCGGCUUCCGAGAUGAUGUUCCCAUGGAAACCCUCUCGUCAGAGGAGAGCUGUGAUAGUUUUGACUCACUGGAGUCAGGGAAACAGCAGGAUGUGCGCUUUCAUUCCAAAUACUUCACAGAAGAACUAAGAAGAAUUUUUAUAGAGGACACUGACUCAGAGACUGAGGAUUUUGCAGGAUUUACACAGAGUGAUCUGAAUGGAAAGACUAACCCAGAAGUAAUGGUCGUGGAGUCAGAUUUGAGUGAUGAUGGCAAAGCAUCUUUGGUGAGCGAGGAAGAGGAAGAUGAAGAAGAAGAAGAUAAGGCUACCCCGAGAAGAAGCAGGUCUAGAAGAAGUAGUAUUGGUCUUCGAGUAGCCUUUCAGUUCCCCACCAAGAAGCUGGCCAACAAACCAGAAAAAAACAGUUCUUGCGAGCAGUUGUUUUCUAGCUCACACUUACAGAAUGAGAAAAAAACAAUUCUUGGAAGAAAGAAAGGCCGUAGACAGGUGAUACAAAGGGAAGAUUCUACCUCUGAGUCUGAGGACGACUCUCGGGAUGAGAGCCAGGAGAGUUCGGAUGCUUUGCUGAAAAGGACCAUGAACAUCAAGGAGAACAAAGCCAUGCUUGCCCAGUUAUUGGCGGAAUUGAACUCGAUGCCAGAUUUCUUCCCAGUACGAACCCCAACCUCAGCUUCUAGGAAGAAAACAGUGAGGCGGGCCUUCUCGGAGGGACAGAUCACACGGCGCAUGAACCCGACCCGGAGUGCACGGCCUCCUGAGAAGUUUGCUCUAGAGAACUUCACUGUCUCAGCCGCCAAAUUUGCAGAAGAGUUUUACAGCUUCCGAAGAAGGAAGACAAUUAGUGGGGGGAAAUGCCGGGAGUAUAGACGACGUCACCGUAUAUCUUCUUUUCGGCCAGUGGAGGAUAUCACCGAAGAGGACUUAGAAAAUGUUGCCAUAACUGUUCGAGAUAAAAUCUAUGAUAAAGUUCUGGGUAACACGUGCCAUCAGUGUCGACAAAAGACCAUCGACACCAAGACAGUGUGUCGGAACCAGGGUUGCUGUGGUGUGCGAGGACAGUUCUGUGGACCAUGCCUGCGGAACCGCUAUGGGGAGGAUGUCAGAUCAGCAUUGCUGGACCCGGUGUAUAACCUCUUUCAGCUCCCUCGGUAAAAUGAGACAUAGUAUCAUGGUGAGUAGGCACGACCUUGAGCCUGGGGCAGUCCUCCUCCCACGUGUGACCUCUUAGGCAGCAGUCAUGGGGUAAAUAUAUCGUCCUCAAUUGACAGACAAACAAACUGGUGCUCAGGUCAGUCAUUCAACAAUAAGCACACAUUGAAAGGGCUGAAAUUCAUCCCUUGAUUAUUUUGGAAACCUUGUGCUCCUAAACCAGGGCGGACAUCCUGGGCCUGUGAUCUACAUGCUCACACAGGGCCCUGUGCUUGGCCAAAUGCUUGUGAAAAUCUCCAUAAUUUUUAAGCAGGGAGCCCUAAAAGGUGUCAUUUUUCAGUGUUUGCAUGUGAUGUGGGGUGAUCAGCCUUCCUGCCUUGUGAGGAGCCCCCUGGGACGUAGACUGAAAGAUGCCAUGUGAUUAAAGGUUGGAGGAGAGGCCAGCUGAGCCAUUCUGGAUCCAAAUCCCAGUUCUUGCCAGAGCCUGUAGAUAAUGAGGGAAGUGUCUGCUGUCAUCUCUCUGUUAGGAUUGGGUGUGUCCCCCCUGUCGUGGGAUCUGCAAUUGCAGUUACUGUCGGAAGCGUGACGGCCGCUGUGCCACAGGAAUCCUCAUUCAUCUGGCCAAGUUUUAUGGUUAUGACAAUGUUAAGGAAUAUCUGGAGAGCUUACAAAAGGAGCUGGUAGAAGACAAGUAGAGGAAAACAGAACCAGCCACCUCACCAUAGAGUACUCCAAGACAUGCAUACCAUUUGUGCCUAAGAUUUUUUACAGUUGUGUUUUUAUACAGAAAUUCUUUGUAGAAAUUACUAUUUUUUUGUUAAAGAUUGUUUAUAUGCUUACAAAGAUUUCUCAGGAAGACAGCAGAGCAGAGGAAUCUAUAUAGAUGUAUGCACAGACCUGUUUGUAUGCUGAACUUUGUUAAAAAUAUCUGCCAAUGAUUAAAAAGCCAGUUUAAAUGGGGUGGGGUUAAAGUUCAGGUAAAUUAGAGAGAAAACAUUGUAUGAGCAGCUCCUGCCUUGAUCUACCUUUGGCUUCCCAAACAGUGACUGCAGGCCAAGUUUGCCUUAGCCCGAGUGACCACAGUUUUAACAGACCACACACAUCGUUUAACCUGCUCUUGGUCAUUGGAAAUUUACACUGAACAAAGUGCAAUUAACUGCAGAACAGUUUUAUUUUUAUUAAAACUUGACUGAACAAAAGGGGACCGUCAACAUUGUAGACACUUGAGGCCUCACAGAGUGCUAGCCUCUUCAGGACUCACCUGGGGCCUGCUGCUUUUAUAUUUUGAAAGAGUUUAAGGGCUGAUAAUUUUUAAUUUAAUUUGUUUAAAAAUUAAAAUCUCCCUUCUUUCCAGCUGCAUUGCUUUUGCAUGUUCAGAUAUGAUGUACUUUUUUUUUUGAGAUGGAGUCCUAUUCUGUUGCCCAGGCUGGAGUGCAGUGGUGCAACCUUUGCCUCCCGGGUUCAAGCGAUUCGCCUGCCUCCUAACUGGGACUACAGUUGCG